rnacentral:rRNA from 1 species
UAUCCGUGAAUCAUCGAAUCUUUGAACGCACAUUGCGCCCUCUGGUAUUCCGGAGGGCAUGCCUGUUCGAGUGUCGUU